CUGACCUCUCAAGAACCUUGGAGUCUCUUCUUGGGAGAAUGAGAGAACAACAGAGCAAAGAGAAUUCUAACCGAAGAUCUCUCUCUGUCUACAACAUCCCCACUCCAGGUCUUAGGCCAGGAGAGAGGAGAACACACAUCUGAGCACCUGCUCCUCCUGCCUUAUUUUUUAUUCUCCAAAUCCUCUGACGUGGAAAGGGCUUCUGGACUUUGAUUCAGAAUAUCAGGAGCUCUGGGAUUGGCUGAUUGACAUGGAGUCCCUUGUGAUGGACAGCCACGACCUGAUGAUGUCAGAGGAGCAGCAGCAGCAUCUUUACAAGCGAUACAGUGUGGAAAUGUCCAUCAGACACCUGAAAAAGACGGAGCUGCUUAGUAAGGUUGAAGCUUUGAAGAAAGGUGGCGUUUUACUACCAAAUGAUCUCCUUGAAAAAGUGGAUUCAAUUAAUGAAAA
rnacentral:sRNA from 1 species